AUGGAGAGCUUUACAAAUGGGAAUGUUAGGUUAUUGAAGCAUGAACACGGCAUUGUUGCAGAGGAUGAUCUUGACUGUCGGUGGCAGGAAGCCACUGGAGAGGCUGUUUCCGAGGAAGCCACUGGAGAGGCUGUUUCCGAGGUCUCCAACCGCCCUGCACUCACUGUCCAUCCAAUCGGUGUGCCACAUCUGAGGGAGGAUGAGACCCCCCCUCAAGGUGGGAGGCCUGGAUGGGCAGCGGUGCCAAACCCUCGAAUUGGCCCAUGGUUCCGUUUGAUGCAAAAGGUUGCUGCAGACCAAGGUCUUGUUCCAGAGUUUGAGAUUACACUUGAAGUUACUCACCAUGGACCACCAUGA
rnacentral:rRNA from 1 species